UUUUCUGUACGUGCAAGGGGCGCGUCAUUAGGAAGGAAACUUGGUGAGUGGAUUUUUGGCAGGAUCAGAAUUGGCCCUUCUUGUGUGGAGACCCUUGGUUUUGUCGGCAGGUUGGUGAGGUGGCAUGUAAGUUGGACUUGCCGCCAAGUAUUAGUAAUGUUCUCUGAGGUUAAAUCCAGUUGUUUGUAAGUUUGAGCUGAGGAAGUGUAUUUUCGAUCUUUGCUCGUGUUGGACCCUUAGUGUGUGGAAGCAAGUGAAGAUUUGGUUUCCGAGGAGUAGUAAGUGAGGAUCGCGGAUUUUCAGGUUCGCCAGUUUUGUUUAAGGGUUUUGUCGAUGAGUCUUGUGGUUUAGUUAGUUUCUGCCGAGGGAAAAGUUUCCGAGAAGCCGGGUUGGAGAUGAGAGGUUCCUAAUUAGUUUCAGUCUUAGAGUGUAGUCCAUUUUCUUUUAAAAUUCGAGGUCGAAUUUUUUUUUAAGGGGGGGAGAAUGUAACACCCGAAAUUUUUA
rnacentral:lncRNA from 1 species